UCUUAUGGAUGAGCAAAAAAGAGUGGUUUCUUGAGAUAGAAUUUACUCCUGGUGAAGAUGCCGCGAA
rnacentral:pre_miRNA from 1 species